ensembl:lncRNA
UGGAGAGAAACUACUGCUGCCUCUUGUCUGCCAGGAAACCACGUCCUAAGCACGUGGGCUUAGCCUGCAAGGAGCACAAGGAAAGCUCUCUGCAGAUGGGAUUUUAGAGCUGCUUUCAGCCAGCCAAGCCCUUGGGAAGCCCCAAGUGGCCUUACAAAGGAUAAACCCCUGUUUUGUCAAGACAGAGCAGUUUUUAUUACUCCAAGGAGGCAUCAUCAGUACUUCUCUAUGACAACAAAAGGGAGGGAAGCGGAAAUCGUGACACUGCGGAAACGUGAAAAAAAAGUUUCAGCAUCCCCAGCUGUGGGGGGCGGCCCCAGCGCCCGCUCCCAGCCCCAGGACAAUGGGGCUGGGCUGCCACCUUGGCCCGGUGCUGGGCUGCGGGACCGGCGGCAGCGAGCCAGGCGGCCUCGUACCCCCGCCACUCCGAACACACAGAACCGCCGGGCGCUGGGCGUGGAAGGGGCCGCUGGAGCUCACCCAGCCCAAACCCCGCUCAAGGCUGAAAUUUCAGGAUCCAAAUGCCUCGGCGAACGCUUUAGCAUGACAUUUGCAUGGCACAAGAAAAUCUUUCCAAAGGAUGGUUACUGGGUCAUUACAUUUUUACUUUACUUUAAAAGGUACAUUUACUCUAAUGUACUUUUUUACACUUAUUUAUAAGAUUAAAUAAUGCACUUGAGCCCGUUUGUAUUUUCUUUUUAUUAGAGAAAGAAGACAACCAUGAAAAUAAUUUUCGUACAGAUAAAAACAUAAUUAAGUUUAGAAAAACGCAACAAUUUUCUCUGAAACUUUAACUGGUGAAAUUGCAAUGCUGAAACUGCAUUUGAAAAAGUACAAAACCUUAUUAAUGAUACUUGCAGAAACGUCAGUGCUCAGGAAAUUCAAAAGUGAGCACGUGAAAACACAUUCUUUAAAAAGAGAGUGGGAAAACAGAAUGGAGAACUCAUUCUUUCACUAACAUGUCAUUCUUAUUUGGCAGGAGCACUCCUUCCUCUUGCUUUAUCAUGGCUAAUCUUCUUGCAAAGAAGAACCACGUCGACAAUGCAGAGAACAAGCAAUAUAAGACCCAACACCUAUAAAAAUUACCAUAAAAUUAGUUCCCCCAAUCAGUCUCGAACCUCUACUGUAGUGACUCAUCAGUAAACAUAUACUUGUUUCCAGCCUUGAAAAUGUGUGUGAUUUGAGACAGCUGAUAAAUUAAAUAACAUCCAUAUUUACAUCCCAUCAGGCUUUCAGAGAGCUGUCUACAGCCUGCUGUUUGAUGUUUGUGUCAGGCCUUGAAGGUAGUGUGGUGCUCUCCUUGAAAGCUAAGCUAAUGCUGCAUUAUGCCAGACAAUGCUUUUAUCCUAAAUGAAAGCCCUCUGUCUCUUUAAGGGCUGCUUAAUUAAUGGGACUGGCCCUGAGAAAAGUCAAGGGAAAGUCAGUAUUCCUAGAAACAAGCCCAGCAGGAAAAUGCUCUUCUCCUCUGAAGCUCUGAAUGGGAAACAUAUUCCAAAUUGAAGAAAAUGUACUAAAUUAUUUAAAAAAUAGACAACCCCAGAAAGGUAACUGGAAAAAAGUUUGCAGAAAAGCCACUGCGUUAACUCACUCAGCUCCUGCCCUUCAGCCCCAUCCCAUAUGCACACUGGGGUUUUUUAUGCAAGCACUGCAUUAUGUGAUC